UUCCAGACUCCUACGGGAGGCAGCAGUGAGGAAUAUUGGUCAAUGGACGGAAGUCUGAACCAGCCAUGCCGCGUGAAGGAAGAAGGCUUUCGGGUUGUAAACUUCUUUUAUGAGGGACGAAACAAAUGACGGUACCUCAUGAAUAAGCCACGGCUAACUACGUGCCAGCAGCCGCGGUAAUACGUAGGUGGCAAGCGUUAUCCGGAUUUACUGGGUGUAAAGGGGGCGCAGACGGCGAUGCAAGCCAGGAGUGAAAGCCCGGGGCCCAACCCCGGGACUGCUCUUGGAACUGCGUGGCUGGAGUGCAGGAGGGGCAGGCGGAAUUCCUGGUGUAGCGGUGAAAUGCGUAGAUAUCAGGAGGAACACCGGUGGCGAAGGCGGCCUGCUGGACUGCAACUGACGUUGAGGCCCGAAAGCGUGGGGAGCAAACAGGAUUAGAUACCCCCGUAA
rnacentral:rRNA from 1 species